rnacentral:rRNA from 1 species
GAUGAACGCUGGCGGCGUGCCUAAUACAUGCAAGUCGAGCGAACGGACGAGAAGCUUGCUUCUCUGAUGUUAGCGGCGGACGGGUGAGUAACACGUGGAUAACCUACCUAUAAGACUGGGAUAACUUCGAGAAACCGGAGCUAAUACCGGAUGAUAUUUUGAACCGCAUGGUUCAAAAGUGAAAGACGGUCUUGCUGUCACUUAUAGAUGGAUCCGCGCUGCAUUAGCUAGUUGGUAAGGUAACGGCUUACCAAGGCAACGAUGCAUAGCCGACCUGAGAGGGUGAUCGGCCACACUGGAACUGAGACACGGUCCAGACUCCUACGGGAGGCAGCAGUAGGGAAUCGUCCGCAAUGGGCGGAAGCCUGGCGGAGCAACGCCGCGUGAGUGAUGAAGGUCUUCGGAUCGUAAAACUCUGUUAUUAGGGAAGAACAGAUGUGUAAGGAACUGUGCACAUCUUGACGGUACCUAAUCAGAAAGCCACGGCUAACUACGUG